UACGUAGGGUGCGAGCGUUAAUCGGAAUUACUGGGCGUAAAGCGUGCGCAGGCGGUUUUGUAAGCCAGAUGUGAAAGCCCCGGGCUUAACCUGGGAAUGGCAUUUGGGACUGCAAGGCUAGAGUGUGGCAGAGGAGACUGGAAUUCCUGGUGUAGCAGUGAAAUGCGCAGAUAUCAGGAGGAACACCGGUGGCGAAGGCGGGUCUCUGGGCCGAUACUGACGCUGAGGAGCGAAAGCGUGGGGAGCGAACAGG
rnacentral:rRNA from 1 species